CCCAGGCAACUGACCCCAGCGUGCAGUCGAUGCCUUCUCCUAGUCCCACUCACCGUAUGAUAAAAUCCCGUCAACUUGAUCCAAAGAAAAAAUGACCUACAUAACAAUGACAGCAUGAAUAACAAUUAAUCCUCCAUUGAAAUGUUCAAAAGCUAGAAUUGUGGUAAAGCCAAGAUUCCCAGGGAGUGUCAGGAACUGCUCUCUUGAUUCUAAGCUUGAAGCAGGUAAAGAAAAGGUUGUCUGGGACUAGGGCUUUCGGGGAUAGGACCCAAAUCCCAAGGCAAAGGGAGUCAGAAGCGAGUAAGAAAAGCAAACAGCUCCUACCUACCCAGUGCCAAAGAAACGCAGACACCAGUUCUGUGUCGGUUCUGCUUGAAAAGGUCUGAGAAGAAUAAUUUGGUAGAUGAAUCAUUGAAGAAUAAUUUUGCAGACAGCUCCAUCAAGCCAAAUGCCCAGCGUGAGGGCUGUGUGUAUAAUACUGUCAUAACCUUUGAAGAUAGAUUCUGUUCAUCAACACGGCUGUUUACAUAAUCACUUGGUCACCUCACCAAAUGGAUUAAUCUUUUUGGUCACAUUCCUUAUCAGUGCAUGGAGAGGCUAAUUGUUGGUGGCCCAAUGUGUCCCAUAAACGGAUCCCAUGAGAAUAAGCUUGCAGCAACAGAUGAUGAAGGGAACUGAGAUACAGACGAAAGCACAGCGGCCUGGGAGACAGGAGACGAGGCUCCGCCUGGACCUUGACGACGACCUUCCUUAAAACUAUGGACUCGUCAUCUGACCUCUCAAGGCCUCCAUUUCCCCAUCUGUAAAACCGAAAGCCCCUCAGCAAUCUGGGGCUAUCAUCUGAAAAGUGUGGGCAGCUGCGGGCGCUCAUACCUCAAGCCCCAAGAGUUUCUUCUUCUAACAGUAACAUACUUUGCACAUGACCCAGCAAUCCCACUCCUGGGUAUUUACCUGAUAAAUGAAAACCCAUGUUUGCCGGGCAUGGUGGCUCAUGCAUGUAAUCCCAGCACUUUGGGAGGCCAAGGUGGGCGGAUCACUUGAAGUCAAAAGUUCAAGACCAGCCUGGAAAACAUGGUGAAACCCCAUCUCUACUAAAACUACAAAAAUUGGUGGGGUGUGGAGGCACAUGCCUGUAGUUCCAGCUACUCGGGAAACUGAGGCAGAAGGAUUGCUUGAACCCAGGAAUUGGAGGUUACAAGUGAGCCAAGAUUGCGCCAUUGCACUCCAGUGCAGAGCAAAAGUCUGUCAAAAAAAAAAAAAAAAGAAGAAGAAAAAGAAAAAAGGAAUGAAAGGAAAGAAAAGGAAGGAAGGAAGGAAGGACCAUUAAGAAGGUACCUGUACCCAAAUUUGCAGAGCAGCUUUAUUUUUAUUUAUCACCGCCCCAGACUGGAGUCAACCCACACGUCCUCAGCGUGUGAAUGAAUAGACCAACCGCAGCACCUCGUACAGUGGAGUGCUACUAAGGAGCGAAUAUGGAUUCACACAGCAACACGGGUGCAUCCCAAAAGCAUGCUGCUACACGGAUGCAAGGCCUUCGGACUAUAUGAUCCCAUUUAGGAGACAAUUGGGAAAAGGGAAAAUCCAGGGGUGAAGAAUAGAUCUGUGGUGGCAGGGGUGGGAAAAGCGGGGAGGAUUUGCCUACUGAGGGGCAGCACAAGAGAAUUUUGCGGGGCGAUGGAUCUGUCUGUAUCUUGACCAUAGUGAUGAUACAUGACUGUGCAUUUGUCAGAACUCACAGGACUGAAUGAAAAGAGAAGUGAAUUUUACUGCAUGUGAAUUGUUAAAAUAAAUGCUAGACAGUAUUUUAAAAAUCAAGCCCAGAUCCUGCAAGACAUUAUGGCUCCCCACCAGAAGGGGAGAGACGGGGAAAGAGAAGUGUCCCCAAAGUUAACCCACGUUCCCUGGGACCCACCUCCCUCCCCACUGCCACUUCCCACCAGCCUCACGCACGGGCCAGGCCCUUCCCUUUGCAGCUCACAGCCCAGCAGAUGUUAGGUCAGAAUGCGUCCCCUCACUUGACUAAAGGUUUACAGCCAGCAGGGUGGAAAUGAACCAGAUAUUAACACCCCCUCCUCCAUGCCCUGCCCACCUUCUGGCCAGUACCAGUGAAGCAGAAGCCACUCUCCCACCCCCAGGCUGUCCCAAAGCCCUGAAGACCCAAGAAAGCAGAGCCAAGUGGAGUGACCCUGAUACCAGGGCCAGCUGCCCAGUCCCCUGUAGCUGGGGAGGACCCCCUCUUCUUGUGAGGCAGACACUGGGAGUGACCCCUCCCUGCAAGGGAGAUUUCUCAUCCCCCAGGGUUCCCAGAGGGUUCCCAGAGGAAAUACAGGAUACCCAAUACAUUUGAAUUUCAGAUAAAAAAUAAAUAACGUUCUGAUACAAGUCUGUCCUGUGCAAUAUUUGUAUGUGUUUUUAUUUGCUAAAUCUGGCAACUCUGUCCCCACCCACAGGGGCAUGCCUAUGGUCACCACACCAGAAGGUAAUCCAUUACAUCUCAGUAACUGUAGAUCCAUACACCCAGAUAAUUUGCUUCUUGGCUCAUCUCCUGGGAAUUAGAGAACUGGGUCUGUUAGCCAAACUCUCAAGACACCUGCCCCAAAACAACCUGGGGUGCUGAGGAAGGGGCACAAAAGGCAAACAGCAUGCCCUCUCCAACUCCCACCCCUACCACAAUCUGAGCUUAGAAGCCAGAUGUGGGUGGCGUGGGAGGGAAAGGCACACCAGCCUGAG
rnacentral:lncRNA from 1 species